GUGGUCGUACAGCAGGGGGCCAUACAGCGUGGACGCUCAGUAAAGUCACUUGCUUUGGUGGGCCCGGAGUUUCUAGAACACGGCAGUAAGCUCUAGACGUGUGGCAGCCUCGUGUGACCAUUUCAAUGUCAAAGGGACUCCAGUCUGCCUCUCCGUUGGAAAAGAACGUUUUCCCUCUUUUUGCAACUAAAGGAUGAUUUGGGGGGAUCCGAUCAUUUCUAGAUUGUGGAUUUGCUGAGCGGUGCCCAAGGCCAUCCCUCUGUAGGGCGCUCCACGAAACAGGGAGCAAAGGAUUUCAGCUUCCCGGCCACCGUGGAGCCGAACGCCAGUAUAUGUGCUGCCGAAGCGAGCACGACGUGGAGCUUCGGAGCAGAGCUAUUUAAAGCUGAAAAGAUAAGGCACUUUGCAGUUAGGUUAAAUUGAGAUAACUGCAUUGAACAGGAUUUUUCUAGAGCGAUAUACAAAUGAAUAUCUUCUACCAUCAGGCUUUCUUGGAGUGUCUGUAAUAAAACUCUCAGAUAUUGACGAAUUUAAACGCCCAAAUAUUG